CCUACGGGUGACAGCAGUGGGGAAUAUUGCACAAUGGGGGAAACCCUGAUGCAGCGACGCCGCGUGAGUGAUGAAGUAUUUCGGUAUGUAAAGCUCUAUCUGCAGGGAAGAAAAUGACGGUACCUGAGUAAGAAGCCCCGUCUAACUACGUUCCAGCAGCCGCAGUACUACGUAGGGGGCAAGCGUUAUCCGGAUUUACUGGGUGUAAAGGGAGCGUAGACGGCUCUGCAAGUCAGUAGUGAAAGUCGGGGGCUCAACCUUAGGACUGCACUGGAAACUGUAUGGCUGGAGUGCAGGAGAGGUAAGCGGAAUUCCUAGUGUAGCGGUGAAAUGCGUAGAUAUUAGGAGGAACACCAGUGGCGAAGGCGGCUUACUGGACUGUAACUGACGGUGAGGCUCGAAAGCGUGGGGAGCAAACAGGAUUAGAUACCCUAGUAGUC
rnacentral:rRNA from 1 species